UACGAAGGGGGCUAGCGUUGCUCGGAAUCACUGGGCGUAAAGCGCACGUAGGCGGAUUGCUAAGUCAGGGGUGAAAUCCCGGGGCUCAACCCCGGAACUGCCUUUGAUACUGGAAGUCUUGAGUGUGGUAGAGGUGAGUGGAAUUGCGAGUGUAGAGGUGAAAUUCGUAGAUAUUCGCAGGAACACCAGUGGCGAAGGCGGCUCACUGGACCACAACUGACGCUGAGGUGCGAAAGCGUGGGGAGCAAACAGG
rnacentral:rRNA from 1 species